UACGUAGGGUGCAAGCGUUGUCCGGAAUUAUUGGGCGAAAGAGCUCGUAGGCGGUUUGUCGCGUCUGCUGUGAAAACUCGGGGCUUAACUCCGGGCCUGCAGUGGGUACGGGCAGACUAGAGUGCGGUAGGGAGACUGGAAUUCCUGGUGUAGCGGUGAAAUGCGCAGAUAUCAGGAGGAACACCGGUGGCGAAGGCGGGUCUCUGGGCCGUAACUGACGCUGAGGAGCGAAAGCGUGGGAGCGAACAGG
rnacentral:rRNA from 1 species